rnacentral:rRNA from 1 species
CAGCCGCCACGGUAAUACGUAGGGUGCGAGCGUUAAUCGGAAUUACUGGGCGUAAAGCGUGCGCAGGCGGUUAUAUAAGACAGAUGUGAAAUCCCCGGGCUCAACCUGGGAACUGCAUUUGUGACUGGCAAGCUAGAGUGUGGCAGAGGGGGGUGGAAUUCCGCGUGUAGCAGUGAAAUGCGUAGUUAUGCGGAGGAACACCGAUGGCGAAGGCAGCCCCCUGGGCCAAUACUGACGCUCAUGCACGAAAGCGUGGGGAGCAAACAGGAUUAGAGACCCCCGUAGUCCCUGUCUCUUAUAA